rnacentral:rRNA from 1 species
GAUGAACGCUGGCGGCGUGCCUAAUACAUGCAAGUCGAGCGAACAGACGAGGAGCUUGCUCCUCUGACGUUAGCGGCGGACGGGUGAGUAACACGUGGAUAACCUACCUAUAAGACUGGGAUAACUUCGGGAAACCGGAGCUAAUACCGGAUAAUAUAUUGAACCGCAUGGUUCAAUAGUGAAAGACGGUUUUGCUGUCACUUAUAGAUGGAUCCGCGCCGCAUUAGCUAGUUGGUAAGGUAACGGCUUACCAAGGCAACGAUGCGUAGCCGACCUGAGAGGGUGAUCGGCCACACUGGAACUGAGACACGGCCCAGACUCCUACGGAAGGCAGCAGUAGGGAAUCUUCCGCAAGGGGCGAAAGCCUGACGGGGCAACGCCGCGGGAGGAAUGAAGGUCUUCGGAUCGUAAAACUCUGUUAUUAGGGAAGAACAAAUGUGUAAGUAACGAUGCACGUCUGGACGGUACCUAAUCAGAAAGCCACGGCUAACUACGU